UAACCACUCAAGCUCUCGCUUGGUAUUGGGGUUCGCGAUCUCGCGGCCCUUAAAAUCAGUGGCGGUGCCUAUUGGCUCUACGCGUAGUAAUACUCCUCGCGUUUGGGUCCAGUAGGUUUACUUGCCAACAACCCCCAAUUUUUACA
rnacentral:misc_RNA from 1 species